CUCAUCUGUAAAACUUUCUGCAUUUCACCAUGGAAGUGGCAACCCACUUCUCCAGGACCCUUCUCUCUGCAGGAGAUAACUUUUCUCUUUCUUUCACUUAUUAAACCUCCACUCUUAACUUUACUCUUCGUGUGUCCACAUCCUUGAUUUCCUUGGCAUGAGUCAACAAACCUUGGGUAUUACCCCAGACAAAUGAUGCCACUUUAGUUUCCACUUUUCCAGACACAUUAAUGUAGGUGCAACAGGUUUUGCUGACGACAGCACAGACUCCUCCUUGUUCAGCUAGGAGGUAUUCCGGGGCUCAUCUAUUAUCAAAAGCCAUUCCCGCUAGUGAGUCCAAAGACUUUUCCAGCACCGAUAGACUUGCACCAGUUUUUGCUAAGGCUGUUUCAAGGGAGGAGGAAGAAGCAAAGAAGUCUAAGUUCUUUGGAGUAAGAUGCUCUCAAAUGCCUAGGAACACUGAUCUCCUAACUUGUCUUCCUGCUUUGAGUGUCCCUCUGAGGUUAAAGUUCCUGCCUCAGUCUCCAACAAUGAAACAAGAAGAGCACCAGUGAUCUAAGGGACAAUUUCAAGAAGCCAAAUAUAAGUGCAAUUAGAUUCCCCAAUGGAGAAGAGCAAGGAGGGGAAUAAAAAAUAUAUAUUUAAAGAAAUGAAAGUGGAAUUUUUUCAAGUUCAUAAAAACUAUAAAACCUUAGAUUCAAGGCUACCAACGAACCCCAAGCAUAAGAAACAAAGAAAAUUUCAAGGAACAUCAUAACAAAAUUGCUCAAAACCAGAGAUAAAGAGAAGUUUUACAGUUAGCCAGAGGAAAAAAGACACAUUAAGAACAGAGAAACAAAAAUGAAGAUGAUAUCACAUUUCUCUUCGGAAGCAAUAUAAAUGAGAAGUUAUUGUAGCAACAUCUUGAAACUACUGACAGUACAAAACAAAACAAACUCCCAACAUGUCUGUACUUAGCAGGAAUGUCUUUUUUAAAUGAAGGCAAAUAAGACUUUUUCAGACAUACAAAGUCUGAAAGAAUUAAUCUCCAGCAGCCCUGCACUACAAGAAAUGUUAAAGAAAGUCCUGUAAGCAGAAAGAAAAUGAUACAAGAUGGAUCUAUGCAAAGGAAUAAAGAGCAUUAAAAAUGGUUAAUACAUGG
rnacentral:lncRNA from 1 species